AAAAUAAAGCCUAGUGGACAUGGCAUCUGCCCGGUAAGCGGAACACUGUGGGUUCUAUUCCCAUCCCUGGACACUUUUAUUUUU
rnacentral:tRNA from 1 species